rnacentral:rRNA from 1 species
AACCUACGAACAGANGCUAAUACCGGAUAACAACAGAUGAUGCCUAUCAACUGUUUAAAAGAUGGUUCUGCUAUCACUCUUGGAUGGACCUGCGGUGCAUUAGCUAGUUGGUAGGGUAACGGCCUACCAAGGCGAUGAUGCAUAGCCGAGUUGAGAGACUGAUCGGCCACAUUGGGACUGAGACACGGCCCAAACUCCUACGGGAGGCAGCAGGU